rnacentral:tRNA from 1 species
AGGAUAUUAGUUAAAAAAAAUAACAAUUAAAUUGCAUUUAAUAAUUAAUAAAAAAUUAUAUCUUA